rnacentral:rRNA from 1 species
AGGGGGGUUGCCUAGGAAAUGCAAGUCGAACGAUUAAAGCUCCCUUCGGGGAGUGCAUAAAGUGGCGCACGGGUGAGUAACACGUAAGUAAUCUACCCUCGGGUGGGGAAUAACGUCCGGAAACGGACGCUAAUACCGCAUAAUGCAGCGGCACCGCAAGGUGACAGUUGUUAAAGGAGCAAUCCGCCUGGGGAGGAGCUUGCGGCAGAUUAGCUUGUUGGUAAGGUAACGGCUUACCAAGGCUACGAUCUGUAUCCGGUCUAAGAGGACGGUCGGACACACUGACACUGAAUAACGGGUCAGACUCCUACGGGAGGCAGCAGUCGGGAAUUUUGGGCAAUGGGGGAAACCCUGACCCAGCAACGCCGCGUGAAGGAUGAAGUAUUUCGGUAUGUAAACUUCGAAAGAAUGGGAAGAAUUAAUGACGGUACCAUUUAUAAGCUCCGGCUAACUACGUGCCAGCAGCCGCGGUAAUACGUAGGGAGCAAGCGUUGUUCGGAUUUACUGGGCGUAAAGCGUCCGCAGGUGGUUAGCCAAGUCAGCGGUUAAAGCGUGGAGCUUAAUCUCUCAUAAGGGCCGUUGAAACUGGUUAGCUAGAGCGCCUUUUUGGCCAGGGAAGGAUUCCCCUGGGGGGGGAAAAAUUAUUAUUUUUAAAACCCCCGGGGGGAAAAAAACCCUUCUCGGUUUUUCUUUCCCCUCUGGCCCAAGUAGGCUAAGGGGGAAGAAAAAAUAUUCCCUUAGUUUAUCCCUAAACAAAAAAUAAUAAAAAAUUUUCGAUUGUUUGCCAACCCCGGGCAUCAGACUACGCGUUAAGUACCCCGCCUGGGGAGUACGCUCGCAAGAGUGAAACUCAAAGGAAUUGACGGGGGCCCGCACAAGCGGUGGAGUAUGUGGUUUAAUUCGAUGCAACGCGAAGAACCUUACCAGGGCUUGACAUGUCGCGAAUCUCUGUGAAAGCGGAGAGUGCCUUCGGGAGCGCGAACACAGGUGGUGCAUGGCUGUCUCAAGCUCGUGCCGUGAGGUGUCAGGUUAAGUCCUAUAACGAGCGCAACCCCUGUUGUUAGUUGCCAGCGAGUAAUGUCGGGAACUCUAACAAGACUGCCGGUGCAAACCGUGAGGAAGGUGGGGAUGACGUCAAAUCAUCACGGCCCUUACGGCCAGGGCUACACACGUGCUACAAUGGCGCGCACAGAGGGCUGCAAACCCGCGAGGGGGAGCCAAUCUCACAAAACGCGUCGUAGUCCGGAUCGCAGUCUGCAACUCGACUGCGUGAAGUCGGAAUCGCUAGUAAUCGCGCAUCAGCAUGGCGCGGUGAAUACGUUCCCGGGCCUUGUACACACCGCCCGUCACACCAUGGGAGUUGGUUCUACCCGAAGCCGGUCCGCCAACCGCAAGGAAGGCAGCCCCACCCCACCC